AGUGGAAUAUUGCUGUUUCUUAAGUGACCUUCAAGGACUUGUGCUUUAAAUACAAUGAAAACUUUAAAUUACAUUUGUUCUGAUGACAGAACUGUUUCAUAAAGUCCACCCAUUCUUUAACUUUUCAAAGCAGUAAAGCUUUAUCUUGCCACCAUCUUUUUCUCCACCCCCGACCCCCCCACAAAUCAUUCAGCCACGACAAGCAGCAGACUUGACAUGAAGACAAGACUGAAGGAAAUCAAGAAACUUGCAUGGCUUUUUUCCACCGUUCCUGUGAGUUCUCAGAGUGCCACAAGCCUGAGCAUUAGCUUUUCACACACAAAUUUUUAAAAGCUGUGAUCUGCUGAGCUCUCCUGUAAGCCAAACUUCUUCCCUUGAGAAGACUGUGACCUGAGCCACACAAGCUGCCAGGCUAAUUCACCACUCUUAGUGAACUGACUCGGAUAAGAGACCGACACAAAACCUCCCUCGACUUUUGGAAGAUGGGGCCAGAGAUCAGCUUUGCAGCUGCACACCUGCAGCAGUGGCUGGCGUGACUGUGCUUGGAAACGUGCAGACAUCUGAACUCGUUCAGCAUCCAGGCGGAGAGGUGAACUGCCCUGCUGCAAGAUGCCUGAAGGAGACUAGGGUUGUUUGGUUUGGAAUGUCUUUUUUUUUUCCUCCUUUCUUUUUCUUUCUUUUCCCCAGAUAGCAAUUUUGGCUCAGUAAAGCAUAGCAGACUGGGACAGAGGCAAAACUAGAUUUGUUAGGUUUAUAACCAAGAACGUACAAGAUCAAGUCCAACAAUUCCUGAUAAACCUGCUUCGAUAGAAAAAUCAGUCAUGACAAAUGUGCCAACAGCAGGUGUUCCAGCUGCCUUGUGAAGAUGAAAAUGCAAAGAUACUAAAUGCACACUGAAACAUUUUCUUAAAUGUAUUUCACCCAGGAAAAAGCCCAGCACUGUUAGCCACCAAUCUGAAUAGUUUUUCAGUCUUAACAUAGAGCUGUGAUUUCAUUUAAUACAUUUUUUAUGAAUAAGUAAAUACAUUACAAAGAAAAUUACACCUUGUUACACAUAUAUUUCUUAUGGAAGUCCUUAACACUCAUAUUAACAUCCUCAAAAUUAUUUUUGCUCUUAUUAGAAUGGAUGGGUAACUCACAGACUGAGCUAUCAGAUACUGUCCACUACCUGAGAAGGUCCCAGCCAAACCUAGGGCAUGUGUGCUUCCACUGAAUAAACAAAAGUUUCUAUAGUAUUAAUGUUUCUGCUUCCUACUCAUCAGUAACACACCAUACCGACCCACCAGACCAGGCUUUUAACUUGCUUACUUUGCUCUUUCUAGUAGUUUUAUUGCUUCUUCUCUCCUGUCCUGGUCCAGAUACAGCAAUGCAAGCUCCAGCAAGGCAUUUGGAAUUAGAUAAUGGUCGUAUUUUAUCUUCUUCUCACUGCAUAGGAAAAGAAAUAGCCUCAAGAUCUUGAAGUGAAUUAUUGUUUCACUCACUUAACAGCUCCAAGCGAAAACAAAUAGGAGAUUAGCUAAGAUCAGGAGGAGCAAUCAAUCUUUAUUACAACAUUUGUUGUGUUCUCUGUCCAACGCUACCUUCUGGGUUAUUAAAUGGUGUACUUUACCAUAACCAUCAUACACAAUGUGUUAUUUCCUGGGAUUAAAAAUUAUUGGCAUUUAUUAUAGGGGAAAUUUUAAAAAAGGUGAUAAUAUUAUAAGCACUGUGUGAACUGAGAAAGAGAUCCCAUUCACAAUAUACAGGGGUUCCAAAUACAAUCACAUUGCCAAUCAUCUCUGGAGACUGUUUGGUUCUUUAGGCAUAACUUCUGACUGCUAAGAGGAAAGGGAGGAAAAAACAGCGGUGUCACAAAAACUGUAUGCGUGUGUAGUUCCCAAAGAGAAGAAAGUAUCAGUAAGAAGUGCAGAAUUGCAAUUCUUC